AGGUGCAGCUAACCCUCUGUUGGAGCUUAUG
rnacentral:piRNA from 1 species